GGGCGCGGGCUGGCGCUGCGCAGCCGCGGGGCGGCAUCCGCGCAUGCGGGGCUUACUCAGUUGCAGCCGGCGCCUACUGCCACUCCCGGGAGCAUGAAGGACCGAACCCAGGAGCUCCGCACGGCCAAGGACAGUGAUGACGACGAUGAUGUCACCGUCACUGUGGACCGAGACCGCUUCAUGGAUGAGUUCUUUGAACAGGUGGAAGAGAUCCGGGGCUUUAUUGACAAGAUUGCCGAAAACGUGGAGGAGGUGAAGCGGAAACACAGCGCCAUCCUGGCCUCCCCGAACCCCGAUGAGAAGACCAAGGAGGAACUGGAAGAGCUCAUGUCGGACAUUAAGAAGACAGCGAACAAAGUUCGCUCCAAGCUAAAGAGCAUCGAGCAAAGCAUCGAGCAAGAGGAAGGUCUGAACCGCUCAUCAGCCGACCUUAGGAUCCGGAAGACGCAGCACUCCACGCUGUCCCGAAAGUUUGUGGAGGUCAUGUCCGAGUACAACGCCACUCAGUCAGACUACCGAGAACGCUGCAAAGGGCGCAUCCAGAGGCAGCUGGAGAUCACCGGCCGGACCACGACCAGUGAGGAGUUGGAAGACAUGCUGGAGAGUGGCAACCCUGCCAUCUUUGCCUCGGGGAUCAUCAUGGAUUCCAGCAUCUCGAAGCAGGCUCUCAGUGAGAUCGAGACCAGACACAGUGAGAUCAUCAAGCUGGAGAACAGCAUCCGGGAGCUUCAUGAUAUGUUCAUGGACAUGGCCAUGCUGGUGGAGAGCCAGGUGAGGACCCUUGUCCCUGAUGUUGGCCUCUGGCCCCCAGCAGCAGGGCCACACUAACCCCUUCCCUUUCCACCCAACACGCUGCCCUGCCCGGGAGGGACAGAGUAUCUUCAGGGUACUUUCCCGAAGCCCUACCCUGUGCUCCCUCCCGCCGUGAGGAGGGAGGCCUGGACCUUGGGUACCCCUGGUCCUGCAGGGGGAGAUGAUUGACAGGAUCGAGUACAAUGUGGAACACGCCGUGGACUACGUGGAGAGGGCCGUGUCUGACACCAAGAAGGCCGUCAAGUACCAGAGCAAGGCGCGCAGGAAGAAGAUCAUGAUCAUCAUUUGCUGCGUGAUUCUGGGCAUCGUCAUCGCCUCCACCAUCGGGGGCAUCUUUGGAUAGAAACCACCCCACCUACUGCUCCAUUCUGGAUAGGUCUCCCCGAGGAGGCCCCUGGCUGCUGCACCUAGCUGGGUUGCCCUCCUCACUCCUGCCUUCUGGCUGGGAGUCCGUUCCUCUCCCAUCCAACACUGCUCCCUCUCUGCCAUGAGGCUCUCGUCCCCACCACCCUGCCCCAAGCCGUGUCGUGUGCAUGAUCUUGUGACAGUGUGUGUCUGUACAGGAGGCAGAGGGGAGCAGGAUUGGGAACAGCCAGAGGGGCUGGGUACAGGCCUGUGUGGGCAAGACUCGGGCCCUGGCCAGGUUCGCCUUUCUUCAGGCCUGGGGCCUACUCUUCUCUGGGACUCAGUCUCCUUUCUGGACCCCAUCCUUGCCCUCACUUGCCCUGCCCCCUGGCUUCUCCAGCUCUCCCCUCCAUGCCAAGGCACCUGGAGGGUGGGGACCAGCUGGUCACAUGGUGCUGCUUUUCAGGUUAGGGGUGGGGUUAGCUCAGCACGGAGUCUUUGUUAGCUGCCCACUGCCAGGAGGCUCAGGGUGCCAUGGCUGCUGGUGUAUUAGGAGCACCCAGUACCUCCUCUUUGGGCAAAGCCUGACAACGCUUCUGGCUUCAGCUGCCCUUACCACAGCCCUGGGAGUCAUUCCUGGGCUGGGCCUGAGCCUAGUGAUCCUUUGCUAAGAAGCUUAGUGGUGCCAUCUCCAACCUUGCUUUGAGCUGGAGAGGUGGAGCAGGCCACAGUCCUCAGCCCACAGGCUCUAACGGGCAGGUUAAGUUAUGGCCAGAGUUGCAUGUUGGGGACAGCCGUUCCCUGCUCCUUUUAUCCUCUGAAAAGCUAGGUGUCACUUCUGGCCUGCAGUCUCACCCUGCCCCGUCUCCCAUUGAUGUGCCACGUGGUGUCAGGUGUACUGGAUGCAGUAUUCAGCAGCCAGCUGGGGAGGGGGCUCCCCACUUCCCUCCCCUGCCAUCUUGGGGCUUCUCAGAGUCAAAACUGUAACCCCUGCCCCAGGACCCCUUUCUCGUCCACAGGCAAGGAGUAUGCAUGCGGUUGCAUGCAGCGGGAGCUGGGGCCGUGUCUGUGUGCCCCCUUUCCCUCAGCUUUGCUCCUGCCCAGUGACUGUGACCACUGUCCGUGCUGCCUUCUCUCACGGCCACCCCACCCCCACCCCUUCACCAAAGGUCUUGGUACAACCAGCUGCCCAUUUUGUGAGAUUUUUAUGUAGAAUAAACAUUUGUAUCUGU